GAUGAACGCUAGCGAUAGGCUUAACACAUGCAAGUCGAGGGGCAGCGAGGGUAGCAAUACCCGUCGGCGACCGGCGCACGGGUGAGUAACGCGUAUGUAACCUGCCCGCAACAGUGGAAUAACCCGGCGAAAGUCGGACUAAUACCGCAUAAAACAGGGGUCCCGCAUGGGAAUAUUUGUUAAAGAUUUAUCGGUUGCGGAUGGGCAUGCGUACCAUUAGGUAGUUGGUGAGGUAACGGCUCACCAAGCCUUCGAUGGUUAGGGGUUCUGAGAGGAAGGUCCCCCACACUGGUACUGAGACACGGACCAGACUCCUACGGGAGGCAGCAGUGAGGAAUAUUGGUCAAUGGUCGAGAGACUGAACCAGCCAAGUCGCGUGAAGGAUGACUGCCCUAUGGGUUGUAAACUUCUUUUACAAGGGAAUAAAAUGAGAUACGUGU
rnacentral:rRNA from 1 species